GAUGAAGAACGUAGCGAAAUGCGAUAAGUAAUGCGAAUUGCAGAAUUCCAGUGAAUCAUCGAAUCUUUGAACGCACAUUGCGCCCGCCAGUAUUCUGGCGGGCAUGCCUGUCUGAGCGUCAUUUCAACCCUCAUGCCCCUAGGGCGUGGUGUUGGGGAUCGGCCAAAGCCCGCGAGGGACGGCCGGCCCCUAAAUCUAGUGGCGGACCCGUCGUGGCCUCCUCUGCGAAGUAGUGAUAUUCCGCAUCGGAGAGCGAUGAGCCCCUGCCGUUAAACCCCCAACUUUCCAAGGUUGACCUCAGAUCAGGUAGGAAUACCCGCUGAACUUAAGCAUAUCAAUAAGCGGAGGA
rnacentral:misc_RNA from 1 species